UGAGGCAUACCAAGAGACGUCAGAGACCAGUCCCUCCUCAAAUGCCAAAUGAAAUGCAGAGAAAUAGUUUGCUGAAGUUCAUAGGCCAGAUAUCCCAGUGGUCAGGGAGUUUCAUGAAUGAGAUGGAACUUUGCAUGGAACCUGAGGGAUGUGUACCAUUUGAGUGGAUGAAGAAAAUGAAAGACAUUCCAAGCAGCUAGAAGUUAGGAAGCAGCAGGGUGUGUGGUGGGAUUGAGCACAGUGGAUUCAGAGGAUAGACUGCAGUUCAAUAAUUUUUAGUAAAUAUCUCCCAACUGUUUGGCACUAUUGGAACAAGUUCUUGAAUGCCAAAUGAAGGUAUAAAUCAGUGAGAGGCAUAAUAAAAGCUGAGCAGUGCUUGGCUUUUUAUGAGCUGAUCCUGACAGGAGCAGCUAUUCAACAAAAUUGCCAGGCCAUUGUUACAUAGUCCCUGCCUUCUAGGGGCUCACUGCCUACUAGGAGAGAGAGUCUGAAAGUUGGUGCAGCGUGUAACUGUUGGAUCAGGAGUUUUGAGCCUGUGAACUGUGGGACCCCAGAGGAGGGUGUGACUACUCUAGGCAGAACAAUUCCACAGUUUAUAUUUAACCUUGAAAUUCAUUAGAGGAUUUUUCAGCAGAGGGUUGGUACUUAAGGUUUGCAUUCUAUAGAACCUCGAGGAAAGCUGUACUGUGCAUAAUGUACCCUCUUGUUAAUGUUGUGUACUGUGAUCCUGUUUCAGGGAUUUGCACUUAGAAUCUGUUACACUGAGCAAAGAAGCAGACCUGUGGGCUCAGUCUUCACCCCCCGACCCAUAUAUACAAGAUGAACAGAGCUGUGGAGGUUAGACAACUUGCCCAAACAACACAGUUCAUGGUAAAGCCCAAGACUCUACCUGCCCGUCCAGUGCUUUUUCAUUGUAUCCUGGAACUAAGCAUAGACCACUUCCCAGGCACAGCUGACAGCAAGUAAAGGAGAUCAUAAUCAGGGGACCAGACAACUUUGUCUAAGUGUGAAUGUCACCUAAGGAGCAGCUGUGAGAGCAGAAGGGUGGGGUAGAGGAGCAGACACCAUGAGGGAGAGUCCUUGGGGGUGCAUCUGCCAGACUGACACUGCCUGGCCUGGGCAAUGGAGGGGCUGGCAGGAACCACAGGUACUGGUGGUGUGGCUACUACAGUUAACAACUGCCUGUGCUUGGACGUGGACCCUCUGCAAUACGCAGUCUCAUUCAUUGCCCCCUACAUUCUACACCAAGUAGAAAUGGAAGGCGAAUGGGUACUUCACAGACAAGAUCUAAGUGGAGAAGGAAUGCAUCCUGUGGCUGCGGAGAUCCUUGGAGCUUGGAGGGGAAAGCUUGAGCCCCACUGGUGAUGACCUCCCACAGCUCCCCAACUCAGCCCUCCCCAAGUCCCCACUGGGGGCCAAUUCUCCAGAUUGGGGGGACUUCCCCAUAGCUCAUCCAUCAUAGGGAUGUUGGUAUCUACUGUUGGUUGGGUAGGGCCGAUGUGCUAAGGAUGGCUCCCCCACAAGCAAGAGAUGUGGAUUUGGGGAGCUUCCCAUCUUGUGUUGAAGGAACAUAACUCAGAAUAAUAAGUGCCAACUAUAACAAACUCACAGCCAACAUCAUACUGAAUGGGCAAAACUGAAUGGGCAAAAGCUACAAGCAUUCCCCUUGAAAAGCACAAGAUAAGGAAGCCCUUUCUCACCACUCCUAUUCAAUAUAGUGUUGAAAGUCCUGAUCACAGCAGUCAGGCAACAAAAAUAAUAUAAGGCAUCCAAAUAGGAAGAGAGGAAGUCAAACUAUCCUUGUUUGCAGACAACAUGAUUCUAUAUCUAGAAAACCCCAUAGCCUCAGCCCAAAAGGUCCUUCAGCUGAUAAACAAUUUCAGCAAAGUUUCAGGAGACAAAAUCAAUAUACAAAAAUCACUAACAUUCCUAUAUACAAUAGCCAAGCCAAGAGCCAAAUCAGGAGCACAAUCCCAUUCAUAAUUGCCACAAAAA